rnacentral:lncRNA from 1 species
UUUUUUUUUUUUGAGAAAAAACUAUUUCUGAACUUAGUACACGGAGUAGAAAUUAUAGUUUUUCUUCUUUAAGUGCUCACUUGAGGCCAUAAUGUGCCAUUGAUUUUAAAACACAGCUCCUUACUGACUUUAAUGAGUUCAGCUUAAAAAAACCAACCCUAAGGGCCUGAUCUGGCCUUGGAUUUUGGCUAUCGACUGUGAGGGGCAAAUGUUCCUCCAGAGCGCCUGGAACCGGAGCAGGCGCUCACCUGCAGCUGUCUGUGUGCCAGGGAAGGACAAAUGCCCGCCUGGGCCACCGCUAGCUUUGCCUGGGGAGCAAAGGUUCGACAGAAGGUGCCGCUCACCACACGGGCCUUUCUCUCUCCUGUUUACCCCAAGCGGCACUGUCUCCGUCAUGGUUGUCGUGCAGGUCUUCUCCUGGGCUCCCCUGGGUGGAAAACAUGUCAGGAGAUGAGUGCUUACAAACACUGCACACACCACAGGCAGAGGGGAACGCGGCCUGCACUGCCCGUGCAGAGCGAGGGCCAAGGCCUUCCUCCUCCAUUGGCUUUAUGCUGUAUGUCCUAUUUAUCUAUAUACAGGAACAUAUAGGCGCCUUAGACUGUGUACAGCAGUCCUAAAGCACUUUGAUUACAGGCCACAGUAUCUCUGAGGGAACGAAGGAAAAAAAUAAACAUUUAUGAAGUGAGCCAGAGCGCAGGCCGCUGGUGGCAGACCUCUCCAGGCCACCCCUGCCCGGGAAAGCGCUCGCCAUUCUCCUCUGGGGAGGUUUCCACACCUCACGUCCCGAAACGAGGGGUUCCCGCGCCCCCCCCCGGCCCAGCACGCGGCCCCGCCGUGCCAUCCGGGGCGACUUCCUGCCCUUGGAAACACCUCAGGCCCGGGGACACGGAAAGUUUUCCAAAAGUCCAAAUCCGCCAGUGCCCCCUUCAGUUGUUGUUUUCUCUCCCCUUGAACUCAGGGCGUUGGGCUUAGUCCAAUUAAAAAAUUCGGCCCCGCUUUCCAAAUCCACCUUUCCUGCCCUCCCCCCGACGGCCCCCCCCCACCGCCGCCAGCCAACGGAGAGAGGCCGAUCGGUGCGAGCCUGGCGAGGGAGGGCCCUUUCCCCGGCCCCGAGCCCCGGAACAACCGGUAGUAGUCGUUU